CUCAAGUUUUACUCGGCUCCUCAUCCCUCAUCCCUCCAUGUUGUCUCCCGAGUCUCCCUCUCCACUUGCAGGGUCCCUCUCUGCUCUUGCUCCCCCUCUUUACCAGCACUCGCUCAACUUUCACUCCCCUCUCCCGGGUUCAAUCUCUCAUUGUGUGUCCUACAAUGUCCUUAACUUGCAGCUGAUGACAAAGAAGAAGACAAGGGGCAGAACACAUUGAACUAAAGGUGAUGCUGCUCCUGCCACCAUUGCUCCAGCUGCAGAAUUCGGGGGACCACCACAGGAGGAAAGACGGUGACUGAGUGAGAGACCUGCAGAACAACGGGGGCUUCAGGAGAGGCUCUUUCAACAGCACCACGUCAGGGUCUCUGGAUGUGAAGAUGUGACUCAUACAUGGCACCAUGCGUGACAUUCAUUCAUCCAGGAGCUGGUGGCAACUGUUAGAGAACAGCCUCACUGACCAGAAGGCUCUGCUGAGGGUCCAGCCCCUGGUCCUGCUGCUCCCCCUCCACCCCCUACAUCUCCUGAACAGCGCAGAGGAAGGGGGAGUAGAAGGGGACAAGGUCCUGUCUGAGGGGACAAACAUCUCUAGCUCCAGUCUGUGUCACUUCUCCAACUAACACCGGACUCUUUGCCCAUUUUCUCCUGGCAAAGAACUUCACCCAAUUGACACUUCAGGUGUGACUCUGUCCGUUACUCAGCAAUGGGACUGACUCCCAAACAACACAUCCCAUUGUUUAGACCAUGCUGCAUUCUCGUCACUGAGGGGUGUCAUAUCUCACACCCAUUGGUGCCCUGUCCAACAACAUCUGGAAAAGCAUUUACUAACAUCAAAGUGAAUUUGCUCUAACAUAUGGCGAUGCUGCAGUGUUUCCCAAAACAUUCACUUGGGCCCAAAAUGUUACCUGUAAGGGUUAAUGAAUUCCAUUGGAAGUUUAUGACUACACGUUUUAUUGUGUAUUUAUCACUAGUGCAGUGUUGCUUCAAAGGUUCCAUAUACUAAUCAAGCUCUGUAUUUAUGUGGUUUACAUGUUAUGUGUAUUCAUGUAACAAUGGCCUAUAUUCUGCAACUGUCAAACUGAAAACACUUGUGCUUUGCACUAUAAAGUAUUGUUGGCUA